rnacentral:lncRNA from 10 species
CUUAUUUAAAAUAUUUUCAAUUCCUUCCUCCCAUCCAUUGUGACAUUUGUUCUGCUUAUCAAUAUGCUCUAAUCACUCAGUACGUUAUUACUACUAUUGCUUUAACCAAAAAGUUAUCUUUUAGAUCAACCAAUUCUCUGAUGCUCCUCCUUUGUAGAUCCAAGUUUUUGACCUAUAUCCUUUUCCUUCUGCAUGAAGAACUUUUAAUAUUUCUUGCAGAACAAGUCUGCUAGUGAGAAAUUCCCUCAGACUGUUUGUCCGAGAAAGUCUAUUUCUCCUUCACUUUUGAAGGAUAAUUUCUCUGGAUUUAGAAUUCUAAGUUGGCAGUUAUCUUUUUUCAAUGAUUCAAAGAUUUCACCCCACUUGACUUUUGCAUGGUUUCUGACAAGAAUUCUGCUAUAAUUCUUACCCUUGUUUCCAGUGGCAACAAAAACUUUGGCCCCAGCAGUUUCUCACUCUCCAGCUACUCCACUGGCAACUUCCAACAAUUUGUCAAAGUGACCACUUGCAUGCUCUUGCCAGUCUAUGGCUCCAGUUGCUUCUGUUCCAGGAAGAAGCAAAGAAGUCUAAGUUCUUUGGAGUAAGAUGCUCUCAAAUGCCUAGGAACACUGAUCUCCUAACUUGUCUUCCUGCUUUGAGUGUCCCUCUGAGGUUAAAGUUCCUGCCUCAGUCUCCAACAAUGGGACAGGGUCUCACCACGUUUACCAUGUUGCCCAGGCUGGUUUCGAACUCAUGGGCUCAAGCAAUUCACAUGCCUUGGCCUCCCAAAGUGCUGGGAUUAUAGGCAUGAGCCACUGCGCCCAGUCUGAUGGCUUUAUUUUUGAUACAGGUAUAUUAAGUUAUCCACUAUGAUUGUGAAUUUGUCUGUAUCUUUUUAUAAUUGUUAGUUUUUCUUUAUAUGUAUUAAAGCCAUGUUGUUAAUGCAUACAAAUUCACAAUUGUUAUAUCUUCUAGGAAAAACUCCUCUCAUAAUGCAGUGUGCUUCUUUAUCACUAGUGAUGAUUUUGCUUUUAAUUCUACUUUAUAUGAUAUUAAUAUUGCUGCACCAAAUUCUCUAUUUGUUAGUAGUUGCCUGUUAUAUCUUUUUCAGUUGCUCCAGGUAUUUUUGCUUUCGGUAUGUCUUUGAUAAACAGCAUUUGUUUGUUUGUUUUAACCAAAUAUGAUCAUCUUCUUUAGAUAGCCUGAGGUUGACCCAUAUACAAUUAUUAUGAUAAUUGAUAUAGCUGGGUUAAUUUAUACACUUUUGUGCUGUGUUUUCAUUGUAUAAUCUUCCCGUCACCACCUCCCCCAACUUUGUUUUUGCUUCUUUUUUUCUCCCUUAUAUUCUUUCUCUAGGAUUGAUGAAAUUAUCUUUAUUCUUUUUAUUUCUCUUCUAAUGGUUUGGAAGCUAUAGAUUGCGUUUCUAUCAUCUUGGUGAUUACUUUCAACAUACAUAUAAAAUGUUAUAUUUCCUGACAAAGUCUAAAGAAAUUUAAUAUCCUCAUCUUUUUAAACAAAGUGAUGAUCUUAGUUGACAUUGGCCCAUUGAAUUCCACCUCUUCUAUCCUCCUUGUAUUUACUGUCUACAUUUUAUUCCCAACUCUUUUAAGCAAACAAAAAUGUUAAUCUUGAAUUGUCAGUAAUUAAUUUAACAACAUCUUUUUAUCUAUUACUUUGUUCAUUAAUGCUUCUUACAUCCCAUAUCAUUCCAGGUUUUCUUUUUUUUGAAAGAACUACUAAAGAACGUUCUGAGUUCUUUAGUAGUGCUUUCAAUAGAAGUUUGUGGGUGGGUUGAAUUUUGGAGGUGGGAGGAACAAUAUUGAGUCUCUCAAUCCAACUGUUAUUUCACUUAACAUCUUCUUAAUAUUUUUCCCUCUUUAUUUCUUUGUGCUUCUUUCUUGGUAAAUUCUUCAAUACUAUUUUCAAAUUCAGUAAUUCUCUUUGAUUUUUCCAGUCAGAUUUUAUCCCAUUUAUUGAGUUUUCGUCUCGAUUAUUACACACAUUUUUUAGUUUCACGUUUUUUUUUAGUAGAGACGGGGUUUCACCGUGUUAACCAGGAUGGUCUCGAUGUCCUGACCUCGUGAUCUGCCUGCCUUGGCCUCCCAAAGUGCUGGGAUUACAGGCAUGAGCCACCGUGCCCGGCCUAGUUUCAGGUUUUAAAAUUGGUUCUUUAUAUCCAUUUAUCUUUGAUUUCUACCCACUUUUAAAUUUCACAAAACAUUUUAUGGUUAUUAUUUUUUCUUUUAUUUCUGAAUAAGUUACACAUACUUAUUUUAAAUUCAUUUUGAGAAUGUUUAAUUUUUAUUUUUUCAAGAAUUAAUUCUCCACACUUUAUUGACUUGCUUUCUUAAAGUGGUUUUUCUUUAUGUGCUUUAUUAUUUCCCCUCUCUCAUCAUGCACUCUUUUCUCGUGGUUUUGCAGCACCUCCACCCAACUCUUGGCACUCCGAUGAUAGAACAGGCCUUAUGUCAACAGCCAAGGGCUUCCAUUCUUGGGGCAAUUUCACACAUUUAGCUAUUGAAUCAGCAGGUGCCCUGACAUAGGUUCUGUCUCCACGGCCUUCUCUGCUCCUUCUGGCCACACUGGCUACACAGCUACUUAGCUUUUCUUGCAUUAACUCUUUUAAACAAACAAACAAAAAGCUUUCUUUUAAUUGCCAGUAUUAAAUUAGAUAUAUACAAGCUAUAGCCCAGUCAUGUCUUCUUCUCAGUUUCUUUUCAUGGUAAGAAACCCCACCUCUUUGCUGCUGUCACUCUUACUAUCCAGUAGGGCUCAAUGUGCUGUAGGUCCUUUCUACCCCACAGAAAUCCAAGUUCUGGCCAACUCUGAGCAUUUCUAGAUUCAAAAUCCAGUGGGUUGGUGGCCUCAGCCUGCACUUAUGGCUAGAAGCUUCUAUUUUGACCUUUGUCUACAUAGAUGUUUGUUUUUGAGCAUGGCUAUCUUUGGAGUAUGUGCAUGUGUGUGUGCGCAUGCAUGUGCGCUGUAUUUGGAGCAAUUUAAAACUUGAACUCAUAUUACCAUCUUGAAAAGAAGCAAAGAGCAGAGUCUCUCAAUUAAAGUGGCUUCAUUCUGUUUUGACAUUUAUAAAAGUCUUAGGUAUCUCGUUUUUGUACAUAAAUCCUUUUAUACUAUUUGCAAUUUCAAAAUACUAUAAAUGAAAUUAUGACUGCCUUGACAGGGAGGUUAAAUUCUUUCCACAGACUUUUAAAAAAUUGCACAUGCUACCCCCACCCCUACUCUUCCCAAUUCCUAGGUAUCCUACUUUCCCAGGUUCAAAACCACUGUCCUAAGAGGAAAUGUGCUGCUCUAAUCAGAUCAGCUUGAGAAAACUCACUCAGAGAGUAGGAGAGCUAACAAUCAGGGAACCUGUGUGACUAGAGGAAGACAGGGAUGCCUGGAGAAAACAACCUGACCUGCCCGCACAGAGGGACCCUUGUUCCAGAAACCAGGAGAGGCAGCUGAUGGGCCCACACAGUCAGCACUUACUCUGGUCAAUUUGUUCUCAAAUUCUAACCAUGGGAAUAAACACUACUUUCGGUGAAAACAUUCCUUGUAUUUCACAAACAACUUCCUGACAACAUUUACAGAAAUCAAAAUAAAAGAACAUCAAAACUCAUUUAUUUACCCAGUAGGUAAAUAGAUGAAGAAUAAGAACAGGUGGUUCUCAUAAGAGGAAAUAAAAAGUGAUCUAACAUACACACCUGUUAUCCUUUAUUGUAAUCAAAUAAAUAAAAAUUAAUGAAACAUUUUAUAUCUAGGAAGAAUUUUUUAAAAUAAUACUCAAGUAUAAGGUUGCUAUUAAACUAGUAUAUUCAUACUUACUGCUACAUUGGAAAUUGGCACAACUGUUUGGAAAAAUAACAUAGCAAUAUGUAUUGGGAGCUAUAAAAAUGGUUUUUAUCUUUUAGCCAGUAAUCCAAACUCCUAGGAAUUUAUCUUAAGAAAACAUCAAAAGGAAAAAGUGUUCACACAGCAUUAUUUACAAAAGUGUAACUAAAUGUUGAAGUGGACAAACAGGCAGUAAGUUUCCCCCAACAGUUUUAACAGCUUUAUUAAAGCAUAAUUGAUGGGCAAUAAGGUACACAUAAAGUGUUUAAUUUGUUAAGUUUUGACCUAUGUGUACAUCCAAGAAACCGUCACCACAAUCAAAUGAACAUAAUCAUCCUCCAACAUUUUUAAUUGAGCAGAAAACAGUUAGGGCCAGAUACUUGCUAAAUGAGGCUACCCCAGCCAUCACCCACACCCACUCCCAGGCACCAGCAGACCACCCAGGGACAGGAAUUGGAAUCAUUGGGAGUACAGUGUUCCUGCUGAGGAGGUUUGCCCUCCCCUCUUUCUUAUGGUGUUCAAGAAACUGGGACUCCAAAAAAUAGAGACUAAAGGUGACUUUUAGGCAAGAGGAGCCCAGCAGCCACCAGCUGACUGGGUAGGUACCAGGCUUCAGUCUCUGCAGGCCCACUUUGAAGAUGGCUACCUGGCUGAAGAUUUCUGAGGGUGGGAAUUUGCCAGGGCAGCUCACACCAGCAGCAAGAAGGGAUCAUGGUGUAGCUGUUCUUGAGUAAAAGAUGGCACUCCACCCUCCAGUCCCCUGUGGCCCUUGCAGGGUAUGGAGGAGAAACCAGUAGCUUUCCUGGCUCACAUGAGGGAGCUGAGGAGUAAAGAGGGAGGCAGAAACUACGGUGCCCUGGCCAAGGGAAGUAAUGUCCUACCGAGAUAGGGGGUUGAGGGUGUGCGUCAACGGCAUGGCUUAAAAGGGAUGCCGCUGUUACUUUCUGAGAGGGUCCUCAGUGACAAAGGGACCAGAAACACAUGCCCAGAAAAUCACAUGAGACAAAGACAAUGUCAGCAGAACACACCAACAGCCAACCAGAGUGACCAGUAGAAAGCUCAGGGCCACUGCCCACCACUGACGGGUGACAGUAGGUAGCUCAACCUUCCCCAUUCCUUUAUUUCUUUAUUUUUUUAUUUUAAGACACAGAGUCUUGCCCAGGCUGGAGCACAGUGGUGUGAUCAUAGUCCACUGCAGCCUCAAACUCCUGGGCUCAAGUGAUCCUUCCACCUCGGCCUUCUAAGUGGCUGGGACUACAGGUGUGUGCCACCAUAUCUGGCUAAUUUUUAUUUUUUUAUUUUUUAGAGAUAGGGGUCUCACUAUGUUGCCCAGGCUGGUCUAUAAUCUCUGCUCUCAAGCAGUCCUUCUGCCUUGGCUUCCUAAAGCAUUGGGAUUACAGGCAUGAACCACCGAACCCGACAGCUUCCCUUUUUACUCCAAUUUCUCCUCCUCCCCACCCAACCCUCUGGUGAUAGAGGAGUAAAAGCCAAAACAUAUUCCCUCCCAACUACAGGUUUCAAAGACCAUGAUACAGCCAGAGAGAGAAGGGAAAAGAGAAAAUGAGAUUAGAUUUUAAACUGGACCAGAUAGAACUUUUAAUAAUGAGAUAUGACUUUAAAGCUAUGGGAUCAGCCCAAGAUGUCACUGAAGGACAGGCAAGGGAGGUGGUAGUUGGAAGAAAAUAGAUUGCUUAUGCCUGUACUUCACUGAGUUUAGGAAAUUCACUAUACCAGAGAUAAUCACAAAAUUAAAAGGAAAGUGUAGCAUAUCAACUCAAUCCAUUACACAACAUGUAAAAAUAUAAUUAUUAAGCACUAUGCAGAAAAAUGGAGUGUGUUUACACACUAUCAUCCUAAAUAAUAACGAUUACUUCAAAACAGAUAAAAAUGCAUAACAAUGCACAACUAUUAAAACAGGUAUGUAUGGACAAAAUCUUAGAGUAAGAAAAAUAAAAGUCAUUUUGUUAAUGUGGUAUGAUUAUUGUUUUUAAAUUACUUUUAAGUUUUCACAUUUCUUUUAUAAUAUAGAAAAGUGGAAAAAUCUAAAACCCUCCUGUCUUACUAUUAAGAAAAGUAUUUGUAUUUCCCAUGUUCUUUUCUUUUUUUGUUUGUUUUGAUCCAGUACUAUUUAUGGAAACAUCGCCCUUUCCCCACUGCACUGUAAACUUUAUCAUAAAUUAAGUGACUGUGUAAGUGCUGGGUUUGUUUCUGGACUUGCCAACAGAUUCCACUGGACAAUUUCUCAUUUCUUGUGAGAAUAGCAAGCUGUUUUAAAUUAUUAUAUCCGGCCGGGCACGGUGGCUCACGCCUGUAAUCCCAGCACUUUGGGAGGCCAAGGCGGGUGGAUCACGAGUUCAGGAGAUCGAGACCAUCCUGGCUAACACAGUGAAACCCCGUCUCUAUUAAAAAAUCCAAAAAAAAUUAUUAUAUCCUUAUAAUAAUUCUUGACAUUAGGGGCUUAAGCUUUAUUGUGAUUAUUUCUUUUCUUCCUCUUCUUUCUCCUCCUUUUCCUUCUUCUUCAGCUCCCAAAUCUGUUUUGUUAUUUAGAUUUGAUAUCAUUUCUAGAAUCAGCUUGUGAAUUGCAACAAACAACUACUAUUAUUUUGUUUGGAGUUCCAUGAAUCUAUACAUCAAUUUGGAGAGAAUUGACAUCUUUCCAAUACCAAGUCUUCUAAUAUAUGAUUUCCCUUGUUCUUUUCUCUUUGAUGCCCUGACAAAUAAUUUUGAGCACUUAUCUGCCAAGUUGAGGCUGUGCCAGAUGUUGUGGACACAGCCCAGAGCAGAGCUGGUGGCCUCACUGCCCUAACAUGUACAAACCUGCAGGGAUGCAAGGUGCCCAGACUGUGCAAAGCAAUGGCAGCUGCAUGGAGUCCAGAGAGAGCACCUGGAGGCCUGGAAGGCUUCCAAAAGAAAGUGAGUUUGCACUCCUCUGAGAUACAAGACAAGUAUUUGGAAGAUGCAGGAUUUUACUGAAGUUCUCAUGGAAGGCUUUGGGCCCACUGAUCCCAUCCAUGGGCAUUUUGUCCCCUCCACAAUCCAGCUGAGGGCUGGACUUCCCUGGGACCAUUCUCAGGGGUCACAGGCAUAACCUGUCCAUGCAUUAAAGGUUGGCGCAGAAACUUGGGGCACCUCCAGCCAUUAAUUCAGAUUCAUCUGUUUCAACGUAUUCCCAUCCACCCACAGACUACUGGGGGCCACCCAGAGGCCUGAGUUUCCACCAGUUUCUCACAUGAGAGAAAGCUGAAGGAAAAGGUAUGAAGGCGGAUUUCACUGUUGACAGGUUGUCUUUCAAGUGUGGGUCCUGGCGUUUAUGAGGCAAUGAUGAGACACCUAGAAAGAAGCACAUCUCUGAGACAUGACAGUUCAGUCCCAAAGGCCAUUAAUAGAGGGCCAGCUCAUCAACACAGCUGCAGAAACAGAGCACAGCCAGCCUCGCAGCCCCACACGCUGAAGCCCCCGCUGCAGCAUUCCAUCUACUCUAGCGCCCAUGCAAAUUGAAAACCUAAAAUAGUUCACUCCCCAUAGCCACUGGCUUUGAAGAAUCUCUUUUGUCUCCAUGAAAUAGCUCCAGGAGACAGAACCCAGAGAAAAACUUUUUGAAGUGAACUUUUUCCUUAUAAUUUUAUUUAAAUUUGAAUAUUUUUGUAGAAAUAAUAAAGUUAUCCACUAAUUAUCUGUGUGACAC